rnacentral:tRNA from 1 species
GUCAGGAUGGCCGAGCAGUCUAAGGCACUACAUUCAGGUCGCAGUCUCCACUGGAGGCGUGAGUUCGAAUCCCACUUCUGACA